rnacentral:rRNA from 1 species
AAAUUGAAGAGUUUGAUCAUGGCUCAGAUUGAACGCUGGCGGCAGGCCUAACACAUGCAAGUCGAACGGUAACAGGAAGCAGCUUGCUGCUUUGCUGACGAGUGGCGGACGGGUGAGUAAUGUCUGGGAAACUGCCUGAUGGAGGGGGAUAACUACUGGAAACGGUGGCUAAUACCGCAUAAUGUCGCAAGACCAAAGAGGGGGACCUUCGGGCCUCUUGCCAUCAGAUGUGCCCAGAUGGGAUUAGCUUGUUGGUGAGGUAACGGCUCACCAAGGCGACGAUCCCUAGCUGGUCUGAGAGGAUGACCAGCCACACUGGAACUGAGACACGGUCCAGACUCCUACGGGAGGCAGCAGUGGGGAAUAUUGCACAAUGGGCGCAAGCCUGAUGCAGCCAUGCCGCGUGUAUGAAGAAGGCCUUCGGGUUGUAAAGUACUUUCAGCGGGGAGGAAGGUGUUGUGGUUAAUAACCACAGCAAUUGACGUUACCCGCAGAAGAAGCACCGGCUAACUCCGUGCCAGCAGCCGCGGUAAUACGGAGGGUGCAAGCGUUAAUCGGAAUUACUGGGCGUAAAGCGCACGCAGGCGGUCUGUCAAGUCGGAUGUGAAAUCCCCGGGCUCAACCUGGGAACUGCAUUCGAAACUGGCAGGCUUGAGUCUUGUAGAGGGGGGUAGAAUUCCAGGUGUAGCGGUGAAAUGCGUAGAGAUCUGGAGGAAUACCGGUGGCGAAGGCGGCCCCCUGGACAAAGACUGACGCUCAGGUGCGAAAGCGUGGGGAGCAAACAGGAUUAGAUACCCUGGUAGUCCACGCCGUAAACGAUGUCUACUUGGAGGUUGUGCCCUUGAGGCGUGGCUUCCGGAGCUAACGCGUUAAGUAGACCGCCUGGGGAGUACGGCCGCAAGGUUAAAACUCAAAUGAAUUGACGGGGGCCCGCACAAGCGGUGGAGCAUGUGGUUUAAUUCGAUGCAACGCGAAGAACCUUACCUGGUCUUGACAUCCACAGAACUUUCCAGAGAUGGAUUGGUGCCUUCGGGAACUGUGAGACAGGUGCUGCAUGGCUGUCGUCAGCUCGUGUUGUGAAAUGUUGGGUUAAGUCCCGCAACGAGCGCAACCCUUAUCCUUUGUUGCCAGCGGUCCGGCCGGGAACUCAAAGGAGACUGCCAGUGAUAAACUGGAGGAAGGUGGGGAUGACGUCAAGUCAUCAUGGCCCUUACGACCAGGGCUACACACGUGCUACAAUGGCGCAUACAAAGAGAAGCGACCUCGCGAGAGCAAGCGGACCUCAUAAAGUGCGUCGUAGUCCGGAUUGGAGUCUGCAACUCGACUCCAUGAAGUCGGAAUCGCUAGUAAUCGUGGAUCAGAAUGCCACGGUGAAUACGUUCCCGGGCCUUGUACACACCGCCCGUCACACCAUGGGAGUGGGUUGCAAAAGAAGUAGGUAGCUUAACCUUCGGGAGGGCGCUUACCACUUUGUGAUUCAUGACUGGGGUGAAGUCGUAACAAGGUAACCGUAGGGGAACCUGCGGUUGGAUCACCUCCUUACCUGAAAGAAGC